UGCAAGGACCCGACGCCUAUUGAGUUCAGC
rnacentral:piRNA from 1 species